rnacentral:rRNA from 1 species
CCUACGGGUGGCUGCAGUGGGGACUAUUGCACAAUGGGGGAAACCCUGAUGCAGCGACGCCGCGUGAGUGAAGAAGUAAUUCGUUAUGUAAAGCUCUAUCAGCAGGGAAGAAAUGCCGGUAGCUGAGUCAGCAGCCCCGGCUAACUACGUGCCAGCAGCCGCGGUACUACGUAGGGGGCAAGCGUUAUCCGGAUGUGAUGGGUGUAAAGGGAGCGUAGACGGCAGUGCAAGUCUGGAGUGAAAGGCGGGGGCUCAACCCCCGGACUGCUUUGGAAACUGUAAGGCUGGAGUGCAGGAGAGGUAAGUGGAAUUCCUGGUGUAGCGGUGAAAUGCGUAGAUAUUAGGAGGAACACCAGUGGCGAAGGCAGCUUACUAAACUGCCACUGACAUUGAUGCGCGAAAGUGUGGGUAUCAAACAGGAUUAGAUACCCUUGUAGUC